CUUGUUGCUUCGGCGGGCCCGCCUUAACUGGCCGCCGGGGGGCUUACGCCCCCGGGCCCGCGCCCGCCGAAGACACCCUCGAACUCUGUCUGAAGAUUGUAGUCUGAGUGAAAAUAUAAAUUAUUUAAAACUUUCAACAACGGAUCUCUUGGUUCCGGCAUCGAUGAAGAACGCAGCGAAAUGCGAUACGUAAUGUGAAUUGCAAAUUCAGUGAAUCAUCGAGUCUUUGAACGCACAUUGCGCCCCCUGGUAUUCCGGGGGGCAUGCCUGUCCGAGCGUCAUUGCUGCCCUCAAGCACGGCUUGUGUGUUGGGCCCCGUCCUCCGAUCCCGGGGGACGGGCCCGAAAGGCAGCGGCGGCACCGCGUCCGGUCCUCGAGCGUAUGGGGCUUUGUCACCCGCUCUGUAGGCCCGGCCGGCGCUUGCCGAUCAACCCAAAUUUUUAUCCAGGUUGACCUCGGAUCAGGUAGGGAUACCCGCUGAACUUAAGCAUAUCAAUAAGGCGG
rnacentral:rRNA from 1 species